rnacentral:tRNA from 1 species
UCUAAUAUGGCAGAAUAGUGCAUUGGCCUUAAACUCCAAAAAUAAAGUUCAAUCUUUUUUUAGAAA